UAUUGCUCUAUAAAAUAUGUGGGUAACCCUGCUGUAGGCCCUAGAAUUCUAAGAUCCGUUUAGAAUAGAUCAUGGUUUAGAUGAGUGGUGCACUGAUGUUGACAUACUGAGAUACUAGAAUCAUAGAAUGUGUUAUGACGCAAUGUCUGAUAAUCCCAUGUAGCAGAUUUAGGUGUGUCUUUGGGUCGUCUUGCUCUUAUUCAACUUCAUAGUUUAUUUCAUUUAUCAGGAGAUGAAACUGAAUCACAGAAAUAGUAGAGGGUUGUUUUACAAUGAGGGA